AUUUCAAUCUACUCCACUGACAAGGUUCACAAACUUAGUUUUAAAUGGGUUGAGAGUACACGACCUGCCAAAGGAUAACUAUUUAUCAAGGGAGCCUUGAAGCCACGGAGUGAAAUUCUUUUGCCAAUAGCUUGUCACAGUCUACUAAACUUAGCAGGGUUGGACGAGUGGGGAAAUGUUUGAACUGAACAAGCCCCUCAUUCCCCCUUACUGUUUAAAUGCUCCAACCAACCUCAAGCCAUCCACCUUAUUCUUUUCUACAGGGAUCUACUUAUUUCACCUAUUAUAUAUAACAAAAUGACCUAAUACUCAAAAAGUGGGAUCCCAAUGCUAACCAUUAUCUCACCUUGGUGCUUCAGGAAGCCUACACGUCACUUCCAUGUUCACCUGCACAAUGCAUAUGGUAGCAUCUGCUCUUGUCAAACCUGCCAUUAUCCUCACAGGGGAACACUGGAGAUAAGAAAGUGGAUUCUAUGGCCAAGAAGACAAUCAUUCCAGGGCCCCCCUGAAGAACAAAGGAAAUGGGAAAAUUCUUAUCCUCCUGCUACUGAAGAAUCAUCAUCAUUUGUGAUAAUUUGCAAAAUGUGGAUACGAUUAUUCCCCAACUUAUAUCCACACCCUUGUGAUGUGAUUUUGCAGAUCCUUUCAUGAAGAGGUUAAUUUUUCCACCCCUAACUCCUGAACUGCAUGUGACUUGUGAGAUAGUUGAAAAUUACCUAGUAGCUGAUUGCUCCCUGUCAGUCCUGAGCCUAGACUAUAAAAGGCCUGUACAUCUCUGUAUGCCCUUCUCAGAACUCCAAGUGGCUGCUCUUUGGAAAAGCUAGGCAAGUCUCCUAGGUGGCCAGAGACGUUAGCAUCUAUUACCUGGGCCCGUCUGGCCUGGGUGACAGCCAACCAUCAGAAACAUGACUGAAGCCAUCAAAGAGCAACCCACCCACAAAAUGCAGAUUGACAGGAAACCCCAGCCAAGACAACUGGCACUGCCCAGGUCAACAAAGCCAUCUAGCCAAUCCUCACUUGUGACCAAGACUAAAUGGUUUCAGUUUUAAAACCACUGAGUUUGGAGCUACUUUGUUAUAGUGUAAAAGAAAACUCGUGUGCAAUUUGAAAACUUUAGAAAAAUUAGGUAAUAAGAUGAAUAAGAUCUAACUCAAUAACAUUAAGCAAAAUAUUUCAAAGAAUUCAUUUAUGUUUUACUUAUUGAUUCGGAACAUAGAUAUAAGGUGUCUUGCUCCAUAGCGUAGACAUGGUUAUAAAAAGGCAAAGCCAUAGCUCCUUCUUGUCCUGGAUAUGUAUGCAGGUGGGGUAGAGGAGGAGCUAAUAUAUAGGGAUAGGAUACCUUGUCUCUGUAAUGCCUUCCUUCCAUUUCUAGGGACUGAUGGAGAGGGGAAGAGGAAAGGAUGAAACCCUUCAGUUUCCAUCUGUUCUCUGUGCUGCUCAAAGUUGAGAUUCAAAGUAGAAGUUUCUUUUAUACCCAUACUUCUCAAGACUAUGGAAACCAGAUACAAUUAGUACCAGGAAAAAAUAAUAGGAUUUUGAAGUUUGUCAUAUACUCUGAUGGGUUUCGGAACAUGAUUACCCAAAAUAUGGCACCCUAGCAUACUGAAUAUUUUAGGCUGAAAGAGUUGGAGAAAAUGGCAGAAGCAUGAGU
rnacentral:lncRNA from 1 species